GUUUGAAAUGAGUGCAGAAAUCAUGGAGGCUGUUGCAACCUCAAGUGCUAAGAAUAUAAUUCACAAGAAUCAGGGAGACCAUUGCAACCUUAAAUGCUAAGAAGACAACUCAGAAGAAGAGAAAGAGUGCAAUAAGACGAAAAAAGAAAGUGAAGGGAUAUGACCUAUCCCACCCAAAUGAGUUCUUGCCUGAGCUGAAAGAAGAACAACAACUUGCUCUUCCACCUAACGAAGUGAACUGCAAAUCCAGACAAAACCUAUUGAACUUGGGAUUUUGGUCAUGAUGGUUCUGCUAAUGGUUUAAAUAGGAG